rnacentral:rRNA from 1 species
AAUGAACGCUGGCGGCAGGCCUAACACAUGCAAGUCGAGCGAGCAGCGGACGGGUGAGCAAGGUAUGGGAAACUGCCUGACGGAGGGGGAAGACUACGGGAACCGGUAGCUAAUACCGCAUACCAUCCGAUGGGCCGAGGUGGGAUUAGCUAGUAGGUGGGGUAAUGGCUCACAUAGGCGACGAUCCCUAGCUGGUCUGAGAGGAUGACCAGCCACACUGGAACUGAGACACGGUCCAGACUCCGACGGGAGGCAGCAGUGGGGAAUAUUGCACAAUGGGCGCAAGCCUGAUGCAGCAAUGCCGCGUGUGUGAAGAAGGCCUUCGGGUGGUAAAGCACUGUCAGCGAGGAGGCGUUACUCGCAGAAGAAGCACCGGCUAACUCCGUGCCAGCAGCCGCGGUAAUAC